rnacentral:sRNA from 1 species
GCCGGGCGAGGUGGCGGGCGCCUGUAGUCCCAGCUACUCGGGAGGCUGAGGCAGGAGAAUGGCGUGAACCCGGGUGGGUGGAGCUUGCAGUGAGCGCGAGAUCGCGCUCACUGCAAGCUCCAGCCUGGGGCACAGAGCAAGACUCCGUCUCAA